rnacentral:lncRNA from 1 species
CCUUCAAGAUCUCUACUAGGACCACUCUAAGAAUCAUUUCUUAAAUGAUCUCACCACACAAAUAUCAGAUUAUAUGUUUAACUCAUGAACAAUCUGAUUUUAGCACAAACAUCACAUGCUUUCCUUUUUCCUUCUCCCUUCCUUUCUAUUUUUCUCUCCCUUUUCCUUGUCUUUUUCAUUUCAGAUUUUUUUCUAUCUUUUGUCAUAUUAUCCCAUGCCUAAAGCUCUCUCUGGAUAGAUCCUUAUCCCUU